GGGCUCCAGCGAGAGCUCACCUUCUUCAGCAUUCACAAUAUCGGUCCCAUGGUCCCAAUCCUCGUUAACACGAUCUGGGUUCUGAUGCUCCUGCCAAUGCUGUUCAUGCUCGCUAUACAUCUCUUGCUUGGUCGUCUCAUCCUCGGCAGCCAUUUCAAUUCCACUUUCAAGCUCCCUCUCAAUGAGGUCAUCAUCAUCCAUAAUAUCCAUCUUCCUGUCCACCUCACCUCGAGAUUUUCUACGUUUCUCGAGAGCUGCCUUCACUUUAUCCUUGUCAAUCUUCCCUCUAACAUCCAUUGGAGAGAGGCCCUUGGGGGCAUCAGUGAGAUAACUUCUAGUUUUAGCUUCAGAAGUCUCACCUGGGGCACCCAUUCCAGACUCAGGCUCUUCAGCGGGGCAUUCAGAUCGACUGAUAAAAGUAUCUGAUACAUUUCCUGGUUCAUGAUGUCGGCGAUCCUUAAAACCACCUUCCAAUCCACCUCUGGUCUCCUUGUACCCAGGGUCGUUAUUUAAAUUAUGUGCAGCUUUUUGGGUGCCAGUUAGCUUAUCCGGGUGUGACUGAUCAGACACAGGACGACUUGCUGAGUGUGCUUGGGCACCAUGAUGCGCAGCUGUGUUACCUGGAGCUUCGGUCUCGUUUCCAUG
rnacentral:misc_RNA from 1 species